rnacentral:rRNA from 1 species
CCUACGGGAGGCAGCAGUGGGGAAUAUUGGACAAUGGGGGCAACCCUGAUCCAGCCAUGCCGCGUGUGUGAAGAAGGCCUCGGGUUGUAAAGCACUUUCAGUGAGGAAGAACGCCUGGUGGUUAAUACCCAUCAGGAAAGACAUCACUCACAGAAGAAGCACCGGCUAACUCCGUGCCAGCAGCCGCGGUAAUACGGAGGGUGCGAGCGUUAAUCGGAAUUACUGGGCGUAAAGCGCGCGUAGGUGGCUUGAUAAGCCGGUUGUGAAAGCCCCGGGCUCAACCUGGGAACGGCAUCCGGAACUGUCAAGCUAGAGUGCAGGAGAGGAAGGUAGAAUUCCCGGUGUAGCGGUGAAAUGCGUAGAGAUCGGGAGGAAUACCAGUGGCGAAGGCGGCCUUCUGGACUGACACUGACACUGAGGUGCGAAAGCGUGGGUAGCAAACAGGAUUAGAUACCCUAGUAGU